GACCGCGUGGGGAGUACGGUCGCAAGAUUAAAACUCAAAGGAAUUGACGGGGACCCGCACAAGCGGUGGAUGAUGUGGAUUAAUUCGAUGCAACGCGAAAAACCUUACCUACCCUUGACAUGUCUGGAAAGCCGAAGAGAUUUGGCCGUGCUCGCAAGAGAACCGGAACACAGGUGCUGCAUGGCUGUCGUCAGCUCGUGUCGUGAGAUGUUGGGUUAAGUCCCGCAACGAGCGCAACCCUUGUCAUUAGUUGCUACGCAAGAGCACUCUAAUGAGACUGCCGGUGACAAACCGGAGGAAGGUGGGGAUGACGUCAAGUCCUCAUGGCCCUUAUGGGUAGGGCUUCACACGUCAUACAAUGGUCGGGACAGAGGGUCGCCAACCCGCGAGGGGGAGCCAAUCUCAGAAACCCGAUCGUAGUCCGGAUCGCAGUCUGCAACUCGACUGCGUGAAGUCGGAAUCGCUAGUAAUCGCGGAUCAGAAUGUCGCGGUGAAUACGUUCCCGGGUCUUGUACACACCGCCCGUCACACCA
rnacentral:rRNA from 1 species